rnacentral:lncRNA from 1 species
GGCCGCAGCCCAGGCAUAUGGAGGUUCCCAGUCUAGGGGUCAAAUUGGAGCUACAGCUGCUGGCCUAUGCCACAGCCGUAGCAACACCAGAUCCUAGCUGCAUCUGUCACCUACACCACAGCUCAGGGCAACACCAGAUCCUUAACCCACUGGGUGAGGUCAGGGAUCAAACUGGCAACUUCAUGGACACUAGUCAGAUUCGAUUCCACUGCGCCAUGACAGGAACACCUUGGCAGUGUCUUCUGUGGAGAAAAAAUUAUGAUUGCAAUGAGGUCCAGAUUAUUCACUCUUUUUUUCAUAAAUAUGCCUUGGUAUUAUAUUUAAAAGUCAUCAGUAACUCAAGAUUAUCUGUUUUCUCCUAUGUUACCUCCUAAGAAUUUUAUAGUUUUGCAUUUUAUUUUUAUUUUUUAAGAUUUUUAUUUUUGGAGUUCCCAUAGUGGCUCAGCAGUUAGCAAACCCAGCUAGCAUCGAUAAGGACGUGGGUUUGAACUCUGGCCUCGCUCAGUGGAUUAAGGAUCCGGCGUUGCCGUGGUCUGUGGUGUAGGUCGCAGACAUGGCUCAGAUCCUGCAGUGCUGUGGCUCUGGCGUAGGCUGGAGACUACAGUACCGAUUGGAACCCUAGCCUGGGAACCUCCAUUUGCCACAGGUGCAGCCCUAAAGAGACAAAAAGACGAAAAAACAAGCAAAAAAAAAGAUUUUUAUUUUUUUCUAUCAUGGUUGAUUUACAAUGUUCUUUCCAUUUCUGCUGUACAGCAAAGUGACCCAGUCAUAUACAUUUUUUUUCUUUUUCUCACAUUAUCCCGCAUCAUGUUCCAUCACAAGUGACUAGAUACAGUUCCCUGUGCUAGACAGCAGGACCUCAUCACAUUAUCCACUCCAAAUGCAAUAGUUUGCAUCUACUAACCCCAAACUCCCAGUCCAUCCCACUCCCUCUCCCUUCCCCUUGGCAACCACAAGUCUGUUCUCUAUGUCUAUGAGUAUGCUUCUUUUCUAUAGAUAGAUUCACUUGUGCCAUAUAUCAGAUUCCAAAUAAAAGUGAUAUCAUAUGCUAUUUGCCUUUCUCUUUCUGACUAACUUCACUUAGGAUGAGAGUCUCUAGUUCCACCCAUGUUGCUACAAAUGGCAUUAUUUUUUUCAUUUUUAUGGCUGAGUAGUAUUCAAUUGCGUGUAUAUAUCACAUCUUCUUAAUCCAUUCAUCUAUUGAUAGACACUUAGGUUGUUUCUAUGUUUUGUCUACUGUGAAGAGUGCUGCAAUGAACAUACAGGUGUGUGUAUCUUUUUCAAGGAAAGUUUUGUCUGGAUAUACGCCCAGGAGUGGGAUUGCUGGGUCAUAUGGUAGUUCUAUAUUUCAUUUUCUGAGGCACCUUCAUACUGUUUUCCAUAGUGGCUGUACCAAUUUACAUUCCCACCAACAGUGAAGGAGAGUUCUUUUUUCUCCAUACCCUCUCCAGCAUUUGUUAUCUGUUGACUUGUUAAUGAUGGCCAUUCUGACUGGUUGAGCUGCUAUAUUAUAGUUUUGAUUUGCAGUUCUCUAAUAAUUACUGAUGCUGAGCAUUUUUUUCAUGUGCCUGUUGGCCUCUGCAUAUCUUCUUUUGAGAAAUGUCUGCUCAUUUUUCAAUUUUUUUUGUUUUCCAUUGAGUUGUUUAAGUUUUUUAUAGUUUAGAGAUUAAAUCCUUCUUGCUUGCAUUAUUUGAAAUUAUUUUCUCCAGUUCUGUAAGUUGUCUUUUUUUGUUUUGUUUUGUUUUGUUUUGGCUUUUCUAGGGCCACUCCCACGGCAUAUGGAGGUUCCCAGGCUAGGGGUCUAAUCGGAGCUGUAGCUGCUGGCCUAUGCCAGAGCCACAGCAACGCAGAAUCCAAGCCGCAUCUGUGACCUACACCACAGCUCAGGGCAAUGCUGGAUCCUUAACCCACUGAGCGAGGUCAUGGAUUGAACCCGCCACCUCAUGGUUCCUAGUCGGAUUCGUUAACCACUGCGCCACGACGCAAACUCCUAAGUUGUCUUUUUUAUGGUUUCCUUUGCUGUGCAAAAGUUUGUAAGUUUGAUUAGGUCCAAUUGGUUUAUUUUUGUUUUUAUUUCUGUUGCCAUGGGAGACUGACCUAAGAAAACACUUGUAGAGGUGAUGUCAGAGAAUGUUUUGCCUGUAUUCUCUCCUAGGAAUUUUAUGGUGUCUCAUCUUACAUGUAAGGCUUUAAGCCACUCUGAGUUUAUUUUUGUGAAUGGUGUGAGGAUGUGUUCUAGUUUCACUGAUUUACAUGCAGCUGUCCAGUUGUCCCAUGGAAGAGACUGUCUUUUACCCGUGUUAUAUUUUUGCCUCCUUUGUCAAAGAUUAAUUGCCCAUAGGUGUCUGGGUUUAUUUCUGGGUUCUCUAUUCUGUUCCAUUGGUCUGUAUGCCUGUUUUGGUACCAGCACUACACUGUCUUGAUUACUUAGUUUUGUAAUAUUGUCCGAAGCCUGUGAGUUAUGCUUCCUGCUUGGUUUUUUUUUUUUCCCCUGAGGAUUGUUUUGGCAAUUAUGGGUCUUUUAUGGUUCCAUAUAAAUUAUUUUUGCAUUUUACAUUUAAGCAUUAUAUUGCCUUUGAUCCUUUGUCAAAGAUCAGUUGACUAUAUUUGUGUGAGUCUAUUUCUGGGCUCCCUAUUCUGUUCUAUUGAUCUAUUUGUCUGUUCUUUAGCUGACACUACACCACAAUUCUGUAGCUUUAAGAAAUAUCUUAAAAUUGGGAAAUAGCAAUCCUCUGACUUUGCCCUUUUACAAUAUUGUAUUGGUUAUUCAAUAUUUGGUCUUUUACCUCUCCACAUAAACUUUUGAAUUAGUUUGUCAAUACCUACAAGAUAACUUUCUCAGGUUUUGAUUGAGACUGGGUUGAAUUUAAAGAUCAAGUUGGAAAGAACUGGUAUCUUAAAAAAAUUGAGUUUUCCCCUCCAAGAACAUAGAAUCUCUCCAAUUUACUUAGUCGUUCUUUGACUGUGUUCACUAGUUUUAUAUUUUUCUUCAUAGAGAUCAUUAUAUAUUUUGUUAGAUUUAAGCCUAAGAAUUUCUUUUUUUGGCUUUUAAUGUAGGUGACAAUG